UACGGGGGAUGCAAGCGUUAUCCGGAAUUAUUGGGCGUAAAGGGUCCUGAGGUGGCUAGCCAAGUCUAUUGUGAAAUAUCAGGGCUUAACCCUGAACAUGCGGUGGAAACUAGAAAGCUUGAGUACAGUAGGGGCGGAGGGAAUUUCCGGUGGAGCGGUGAAAUGCAUAGAUAUCGGGAAGAACACCAACGACGAAAGCACUCCGCUGGGCUGAUACUGACACUGACAGACGAAAGCUAGGGUAGCGAAAGGG
rnacentral:rRNA from 1 species